AGAGUUCGAUUAUGGCUCAGGAUGAACGCUGGCGGCGUGCUUAACACAUGCAAGUCGAGCGGAGUAUUUAAACGGAAGUCUUCGGAUGGAAGGUUAGAUAUUUAGCGGCGGACGGGUGAGUAACGCGUGGGCAACCUGCCCCAUACCGGGGGAUAACAGCCAGAAAUGGCUGCUAAUACCGCAUAAGCGCACAGCGCCCCAUGGCGCGGUGUGAAAAACUCCGGUGGUAUGGGAUGGGCCCGCGUCUGAUUAGGUAGUUGGCGGGGUAACGGCCCACCAAGCCGACGAUCAGUAGCCGACCUGAGAGGGUGACCGGCCACAUUGGGACUGAGACACGGCCCAA
rnacentral:rRNA from 1 species